rnacentral:rRNA from 1 species
AACGAACGCUGGCGGCAUGCCUAACACAUGCAAGUCGAACGGGAUCCAGGCUACGGCCUGGUGAGAGUGGCGGACGGGUGAGUAACACGUGGGAACCUGCCUUUUGGUUCGGGAUAACCGCGGGAAACUGCGGCUAAUACCGGAUGCUCCCGAGAGGGGAAAGAUUUAUCGCCAGAAGAGGGGCCCGCAUCCGAUUAGGUAGUUGGUGAGGUAAUGGCUCACCAAGCCGACGAUCGGUAGCUGGUCUGAGAGGAUGAUCAGCCACACUGGGACUGAGAUACGGCCCAGACUCCUACGGGAGGCAGCAGUGGGGAAUAUUGGACAAUGGGGGGCAACCCUGAUCCAGCAAUGCCGCGUGAGUGAUGAAGGCCUUAGGGUUGUAAAGCUCUUUUGCCAGGGAAGAUGAUGACUGUACCUGGAGAAUAAGCCCCGGCUAACUUCGUGCCAGCAGCCGCGGUAAU